CCUGCAACACCUGGCCGCCGCCAUCUUUGCUCGGGGUUUGCGACCCAGAGGUUAAUUUCAGGAAAUGUCCCUGCCCUCUUUGCCGUAAGGACCAAUGGAAAGCGGAAUUUGAGAAGGAGGCCGAUUCUCAGAGGGCCUGAGCCUCCUCGUGAGUAAAAUGGUUCACAAGUUCCUGUUUGCCAAGGGCACGUGAAAGAGAUAAUAAGAGGCCUGGGGAUCUGAAGCUGGAAAGGAUCAAGAGGGCAGCUCGUGGAACAGAGGCCCCUUCUAUCUCAGUCUUAGAAAUUUCUCCCUAUGCUCAGACACCCUCCAGGAAGAGAUAUUUUUGUGCAGAGUUGAGACCAGCUGGAUCCUGGGCUGCAGACCAUAUGCCAUUUACAGCAGAAACCUCUUUCCCCUCUGGUCCUGCUUACCAUUACUCCCAUCUUCUGAUUUCCUGGAUUUUGGCACCUCAGUACAAUUUUUACAUCUGCUUCUUAACUGGGUUGGUGACCCUCCCUUUCCAAGCUUCUUGUACAUUGACUCUGCACACACUUCUGGGAUCUGUUCAUUUCUUUGGAUUUCAUGACAUCUAUCCCCAUCUCUUAACCUACUAUUGUUCCAGUUUUUGUACCGAUACAAUGACUAAACAGACUUGCCCAUCACCACUGAAUCACAGCCAAACAAAGGGUAGUAAUGAUUAUUUUGUAAUACCACAGUCUAUGUAUAGUCCUUGAAUCAGAGGUGGGAAGAAACAAGAAUUUUGAUGUGCUUGGUACUCUUGCCCAAGCACUGAAGCACUUUACAAGGGAACAAAGGUUUGUGCUUUUGAAAUGACCUCACAGUGGAUCUAACAAUGUACCAGUUAAAUCUUAUUCCAGAAUGCAAUUAUUUCAUUAUUAAAAUGAAGCACAGAGAGUUAGCUGCUGUUAGCAGCUGAAAGAAUAGCAUCACUGAUUUGGAGAACUUAGAGAAUUCUUCAGACAUCCACCAAAAAAUCAGAAGGCCAGCACCAUGAGCAAUGAGGUCACGAUCUUUAAGAUAAGAAAAUCUAUCAAUUCCAAAUGUCCACAUUAGUCAUGCAUAAAGGCACCAACAUUUCACAGAAAACAAACAAAUCUAUCCCAACGAACCCUUGCUGUUUAUCACAUUCACCAGAGAGGCUAGAAAAAGUCGAGCUGGACAGAGCCCUGUUGUCCAGAGCACAAAUCGAUUCCAUAUUGUAUGACAUUCCGUCUGGUGAUUUUUUGGAUCACCUCCCAAGGAAGCUACUUGGACUGGAAAGCCUAGUCCCACUGUCGAAACCCUGGUGAAAAGAAAUGUAGACACCCACCCCAGAGCCUCUUCCAGCAGUGCCACAGCAAAAUCCGUUAAAGCUUUAUUACCAUUAAUUGUAGGAGAGAGGGGACCUUGACCACUGUCCCAGAGCCUUGGAUAAAGUACCAUAUCCAUCCCCAAUGUGGUCUGGGAAGAUACCCGAAACAAAACAGGACUGGAAAUGCCAAGUGCACAUUUCACAAGUGAGUCAAGACACAAAAUGACAGGCACUCACACUGCAUUGGGGAAGAUAGGUAAUAACCAGUAUCCAGGGCUAUCAUCACACACUGACUUGAGUCUAGCACUGAACACUGUGCUAAAAGUUGUGCGUACAUCAUGGAACAGAACCUUUUCAACAACCUGCAAGGAACGUACUACUAUCUCAAUUAACAAAAGAGAAGACUGAGGUCAAAAGAAUUUGAGUAAUUUAUCUGUCAUCACCCAGAUAAUAAAUAGUUGAGCUGAUUCAAA